UGGGGAAUAUUGGACAAUGGGCGAAAGCCUGAUCCAGCAAUGCCGCGUGAGUGAUGAAGGCCUUAGGGUUGUAAAGCUCUUUUACCCGGGAUGAUAAUGACAGUACCGGGAGAAUAAGCCCCGGCUAACUCCGUGCCAGCAGCCGCGGUAAUACGAAGGGGGCUAGCGUUGCUCGGAAUCACUGGGCGUAAAGGGCGCGUAGGCGGCUGAUUUAGUCGAGGGUGAAAGCCCGUGGCUCAACCACGGAAUGGCCUUCGAUACUGGUUGGCUUGAGACCGGAAGAGGACAGCGGAACUGCGAGUGUAGAGGUGAAAUUCGUAGAUAUUCGCAAGAACACCAGUGGCGAAGGCGGCUGUCUGGUCCGGUUCUGACGCUGAGGCGCGAAAGCGUGGGGAGCAAAC
rnacentral:rRNA from 1 species